CAACAGGGAUUGCCCUAGUAACGGCGAGUGAAGCGGCAGCAGCUCAAAUUUGAAAUCUGGCUCUUUCAGAGUCCGAGUUGUAAUUUGCAGAGGGCGCUUUGGCUUUGGCAGCGGUCCAAGUUCCUUGGAACAGGACGUCACAGAGGGUGAGAAUCCCGUACGUGGUCGCUAGCUAUUGCCGUGUAAAGCCCCUUCGACGAGUCGAGUUGUUUGGGAAUGCAGCUCUAAAUGGGAGGUAAAUUUCUUCUAAAGCUAAAUAUUGGCCAGAGACCGAUAGCGCACAAGUAGAGUGAUCGAAAGAUGAAAAGCACUUUGGAAAGAGAGUCAAACAGCACGUGAAAUUGUUGAAAGGGAAGCGCUUGCAGCCAGACUUGCUUGCAGUUGCUCAUCCGGGCUUUUGCCCGGUGCACUCUUCUGCAGGCAGGCCAGCAUCAGUUUGGGCGGUGGGAUAAAGGUCUCUGUCACGUACCUCUCUUCGGGGAGGCCUUAUAGGGGAGGCGACAUACCACCAGCCUGGACUGAGGUCCGCGCAUCUGCUAGGAUGCUGGCGUAAUGGCUGUAAGCGGCCCGUCUUGAAACACGGACCAAGGAGUCUAACAUCUAUGCGAGUGUUUGGGUGUCAAGCCCGAGCGCGUAAUGAAAGUGAACGGAGGUGGGAACCCGCAAGGGCGCACCAUCGACCGAUCCUGAAGUUUACGGAAGGAUUUGAGUAAGAGCAUGGCUGUUGGGACCCGAAAGAUGGUGAACUAUGCUUGAAUAGGGUGAAGCCAGAGGAAACUCUGGUGGAGGCUCGCAGCGGUUCUGACGUGCAAAUCGAUCGUCAAAUUUGGGCAUAGGGGCGAAAGAC
rnacentral:rRNA from 1 species